rnacentral:misc_RNA from 1 species
UAAAGAUACGCAUGUAUUAAUUCGA